rnacentral:rRNA from 1 species
UCAUAUGCUUGUCUCAAAGACUAAGCCAUGCAUGUCUAAGUACAAGCUCCUGUACAGUGAAACCGCGAAUGGCUCAUUAAAUCAGUCAUGGUUCCUUAGAUCGUGCAACGACGGAUAACUUUUGGGAAACUAGAGCUAAUACGUGCAUAAAGCCCUGACCGCAAGGGACGGGCGCUUUUAUAAGGACAAAACCAAUGAGUUCCCUCGUGGACUCUCGCUUUGGUGACUCUGAAUAACUUUGUGCUGACCGCUUAGGGCUCCGACCCGGCGGCGUAUCUUUCAAAUGUCUGCCCUAUCAACUUCUGAUGGUAUGUGAUAUGCUUACCAUGGUUGUAACGGGUAACGGGGAAUCAGGGUUCGAUUCCGGAGAGGGAGCCUGAGAAAUGGCUACCACAUCCAUGGAUGGCAGCAGGCGCGCAAAUUACCCACUUCUCGUUUGAGAGAGGUAGUGACGAAAAAUAACGCUACGACAGUGCCUAGCGCCUGUUGUAAGCGCAAUGAGUACAUUUUAAAUCCUUUAACGAGGAUCUAUUGGAGGGCAAGUCUGGUGCCAGCAGCCGCGGUAAUUCCAGCUCCAAUAGCGUAUAUUAAAGUUGCUGCAGUUAAAAAGCUCGUAGUUGGAUCUCGAUCCUUGCCCAGGUGGUACACCGAACGGUGCUGACUGCCUGGCGGGGUCCUCAUCUGGUUUUCUCUUGAUACUCUUCACUGGGUGUCUUGAGAUGCUAGAACGUUUACUUUGAAGAAAUCAGCGUGUUCAAAGCAAGCACCUGCUUGAAUGGUAGUGCAUGGAAUAAUGGAAUAGGACCUCGGUUCUAUUUUGUUGGUUUUCGGAUCCGAGGUAAUGGUUAAGAGGGACAGACGGGGGCAUUCGUACUGCGGUGUUAGAGGUGAAAUUCUUGGAUCGCCGCAAGACGAACAACAGCGAAAGCAUUUGCCAAGAAUGUCUUCAUUAAUCAAGAACGAAAGUCGGAGGUUCGAAGGGGAUCAGAUACCCCCCUAGUUCUGACCAUAAACGAUGCCAACUAGCGAUCCGUCGUAGUUACUUCAACGACACGGCGGGCAGCUUCCGGGAAACCAAAGUAUUUGGGUUCCGGGGGAAGUAUGGUUGCAAAGCUGAAACUUAAAGGAAUUGACGGAAGGGCACCACCAGGAGUGGAGCCUGCGGCUUAAUUUGACUCAACACGGGAAAACUCACCCGGCCCAGACACCGUUGGGAUUGACAGAUUGAGAGCUCUUUCUUGAUUCGGUGGAUGGUGGUGCAUGGCCGUUCUUAGUUGGUGGAGCGAUUUGUCUGGUUAAUUCCGAUAACGAACGAGACCCUAGCCUGCUAAAUAAUCUCUCAGUGGCUUGCCGCUGCGGAGAAUUUCUUAGAGGGACCGCCGGCUUACGAAGCCGGAUGAUACUGGGCAAUAACAGGUCUGUGAUGCCCUUAGAUGUUCGGGGCCGCACGCGCGCUACACUGGAGGAAUCAGCGUGCUUUCCCUGCUCUGAAAGGAGUGGGUAAUCAUGUGAAACUCCUCCGUGCUGGGGAUAGGGGAUUGCAAUUAUUUCCCUUGAACGAGGAAUUCCCAGUAAGUGCAAGUCAUAAGCUUGCGCUGAUUACGUCCCUGCCCUUUGUACACACCGCCCGUCGCUACUACCGAUUGAAUGUAUCGACAAGGCAUGUGGAUCUGGCCGCUGAGGUCCGCUCGCGGACCACUGCUGGCCCGGAGAAGCAAGUCAAGUCGCUACAUUUAGAGGAAGUAAAAGUCGUAACAAGGUUUCC